ACGCCUGCCACAAGGCGAGUGGGCUCCACAUCCAGGAGACCAGCGCUGGCGCCCCCAGGAAUCCCUGGGUCCUGGCCAGCAACCCUGCCCCAGCUCUAAGUGGACACAUGCAUCCCCACCCACAUCACGACAGCACUGAUUUACACACCCUGGAGGAGGGAACCGAUUUCCUAACUUUACUGGCAACAUCUUUUGAUCUUAGCCAAGAAGGGCAAAGGGCCCCCACGCAGCCAGCGAACCCCAGCGUGAACAUCACCACGCCCACCAUCAGGACCAGCACCACAGGGUCGAUCCCAUGCAGCCGGGUCACUUUGGUGAGGAAGAGCCUGGUCUGCCCACCUCACCUCUCCUGCACAGGCUGGGCCGUGAGGUUCCCAGGUGUGUAGGGACCUGGCCCUACCCCUACGGGCACCCACGGGGCAUGUAACACAGCCCUGCCCCUGCCCUCAGAAGGACAAGAACACAGGAAUCAACACAACUGUGGUCAAGGACCUGCUGGCUCCCGGAGGCACAGACAGGAGCAGAGGUGGCCCCAGGCCCGCCCGGGACGCAGCUGCACACAAGCCGCCAGGCCACCUGAGGCUUCUGGGAGCAGCACAGCGGGCUUCCCACACUUGCGGACUUCAAAAACCCAACCAGCCCAGCCCUGCCGUGGCCCCCAGCAGUGACCCCACCACGGGGACGCAGAACCAGGCCCAGGGCAAGACACCACCGUGUGCUAGAGUGCUCAUUGGGGAGGAGUCUGGAUGAAGCAACAAUUAAAGCUGAACAAACCUGGUCCGGGCUCCCUGAUGCUUACCGUCCUGGUAACAC